GCCCAUUUUCGCACGUGCCUGUGGUCGUGUGUCGGUUGGCGGGGAUCCGGACAAGAGGCCGGUUAACCGCCUGAAAAGGACCGACAGCCGGAGGCGAACCGGCGAACCCCGCCAAACGGGGGACGCGACUUAAAGCAACGACGGACCGGGCUUUU
rnacentral:sRNA from 2 species